UACCCCAUUUUUGCUUCGCCAGUUGGAUUUGUGUCUUUAUUGGUCAUUCAAAUGUGGCAAAGGAAAUAAUCCUUUUAAAAUGUAGGCAUACUGAGUGUUUGUCUUGCAUCUGGUUGAAGGAAGCAAAC